GAUGAACGCUGGCGGCGUGCCUAAUACAUGCAAGUCGAGCGAACAGAUGAGGAGCUUGCUCCUCUGACGUUAGCGGCGGACGGGUGAGUAACACGUGGAUAACCUACCUAUAAGACUGGGAUAACUUCGGGAAACCGGAGCUAAUACCGGAUAAUAUAUUGAACCGCAUGGUUCAAUAGUGAAAGACGGUUUUGCUGUCACUUAUAGAUGGAUCCGCGCCGCAUUAGCUAGUUGGUAAGGUAACGGCUUACCAAGGCAUCGAUGCGUAGCCGACCUGAGAGGGUGAUCGGCCACACUGGAACUGAGACACGGUCCAGACUCCUACGGGAGGCAGCAGUAGGGAAUCUUCCGCAAUGGGCGAAAGCCUGACGGAGCAACGCCGCGUGAGUGAUGAAGGUCUUCGGAUCGUAAAACUCUGUUAUUAGGGAAGAACAAAUGUGUAAGUAACUAUGCACGUCUUGACGGUACCUAAUCAGAAAGCCACGGCUAACUACGUG
rnacentral:rRNA from 1 species